AUAUUUUGAAUUUUUAAAACGAUUAUAAAUUACUAAAAACAUUAAGUGCCUCACACUAAAAUUUUGUGAUCAAUAAUUUAAUUUUGUUUUGGUAAUAACAAGAUACAAAUGAUCACAUCGUAUGAAUAUGAAUCCUCCUUUACUAGACAUUCAUAUUAUAUAUUAAUAUAGUUUAAAAUUAAACUAUAUAACAUAGAAAAAUACUUAAAUAUGAUAAUUUCAUAAAUUGUAUUGGAAAAGUUUUGAAACAUUAAUAUUUUAAUUUUGAAAUUUGCGUUAAAAAAAUUGCACAUUAGAAAUUUUGUGUUUAUCACAUGAGUAUAAAUUCUCAAUAAUAAAAUAUUGAUAUUAAAAUAUACUAUAUAUCUAUAUCCAUGUCAUUGAAAUUUAGUUAUAUACCAUAUAUAAUAAAUAAAAUGAUUGUUUUGAUUUAUUUACAAAAAAAUAUCCUAAAUAAACAAGAUGUAUUGUUUUGAUUUACGUGUUUACUCUAAUUUAAUUAUAUACAUAAUACGUAAAUGAAUACAAAUAGAUAAUAAUACAUAAACAAAUAUUUUUAUAUAUAACUUUCAUCCCACGCAAUUAAGCGGGUCUUAAGCUAGUUAGGUAGUAAAUGAUUUGAUUCGUAUGUAUUACGCUAGAGCUUAAUUAUAUUACACUAAGGUUUAGGUAAACUCUUUGUAAUGAUACCAUAUCAGCAAUUAAAAUGCUUAAGGGAGUGACACAUAAGCAAGAUCACUUUGUAAUUAGUACAAAACUAAGAUUAUAUUUUUUUUAAAGAUCAUCAAUUAAUAUAUAAGUGAUAUUUAUAUUCACUUGUUCACUUCUCAUUAUUUAAUAAGAAGUACAAUUUACAUUUUGACACUCUUAAUCCAAAAUUUUCAUGAGAAAAUUGGCUCCAAAAAAGUUUUUUAAAAGAAAAAAAACUUGGCCCCAAAAAGCAAUUAUAAUAGCAAUAGUGAAAGUGAUACUCACUUAAAAGAGGAUGAGCCUGAGCGUAAACAAUCUGUUUGUACAAUUGUCACGGUUUAGUUUUUCUACUGUAUAACAGGAUGUCGGUUUGACUUAUAUAGUUCACAUGUCAUAUAAUUUAUUAUCUGGAUUAACAUAAGACUGUCAUUAUUGGAAAAUAAUUAGGUCAACUCAAGAAUAAUAUGCAUUAAAAACCAUAAUGAAAGGGAUAAGUACAAGAUUUUUGUAUAUCUUUGUUCAUUAUUGUUUAUAACUAUAAGAUAAGGAUAUAAUAAUUAAAAAACGGUUUACAUCUUUCUUUUUUAUCUUUUGGUUAAUGUUUUCCCCAUCUAAAGGUUGAUACCACAGUUACGAAAUAGUCGCUUCCUUAUCUCCUUGAAAACCUUCUGUACCGUCUGGUAUCACAAGAUCAAUCUUUGGUUCAUCAUUCCGGUUCAUAACACCAUGACUCCUGUUAACCGGUAAACUUGGAAGCUUAGAGAGUCCAUCCAUAUAGUAUUGCAUCAUAUCCAUUUGUGGGGCCAAGGGAGAGGGCAAAAGCUGAGAGGUCGAAACGGAAGAAUGCAGCAUACCUAACCCAAGGGUUUGCAUGCUAGGAUCUUGAGACAUAGACGAACCGGAUUUUUUCUUUCUACUGGAUUGGCUUAUGCGUUCAGGUGGUGGAACGUGCUCAUGUAUCCCGUCGUAUGUAGCCACCACUAACUUCACAUUGUCUACGCUUCUCUCCACAUGCUUCGUCACCUUACACCCAGUGUAUGUGCAUCUGUAGUAACUCCUGCGAUUACCAGUGGCGAUUACCAUUUACACCAAAAUAAAUAUAUAAUAUUUUUUGUCAAAAUGCCUGACUAAUUUUGAAGUGAAAGAAAUAUAUAACCUUGGAUUUGGAUUCCCUGUGACAACUUUUUGACCAUAUUUUCUCCAGCGAAAACCAUCGUCAGGAUGGUUUUCUUCGUUUUCAACCUGAAUUAUGACACUUUGGGUCUUGUUUUUUGGUCUUGUGACUCCAAUAAUGUUUGAUACCAUAUUUUCCCUGCGAGGAAUUAUGUAAUUCAGGUAAAUUUUAUUAUUAAACAUAUCAAUUAUAAAUUGAGUUAAUAUAUAGUUUUAUUAUUAUUAUUAUAUAUUGAUUACUCAAUGUUGACUUGGAACUUUCUCUUUCGAGAUGGAGGUUCUAUAACAACGUUGUGAUCUUUGACUUUGUCUUCCUCUUGGUUGUAUUCUCUGUCCUUGUCAUUAUCUUUGCUACCACUUUCAAGGGAGAUAGUGUUCAUAAAAUCAGCUUCAGCAACAACAUCAGAAUCAAAAGAAGGGACUAAAGGAGGACCAGUGGGAUCGACAUUAGAUUCAUGAGAUGUGAUAUAAACAGAUUUUUCCAUUGGAAUAUCAUCAGAGCCUGUUUUACAUGUAAAAAGAAAUAUAUUAAUAUUCGGAAAAUCUAAACUGAAGCAAACUCUAGACACUAGAAACUCUAUUACCUCCUUGAGUAGGCAGAUCAACGUCGAUUGGCUGAUGAGGAAGAUUGUUGUUGGAUAUAAUCAUUGUUGCAUGGGCAUCACCAGAACUUUCCACCGUCUCAGGAGGCGCAUCAUUAGGGAUUGAACACGGAGGGAUAAUCUGGAAACAUAAAUUACACAAAGACAAUAAACAGUUAGGUUAAUCAUAUAUUAAUAUUAUUUUUGGAGACAAUAAUAUAUAUCACGUGUAAGAGAUCAAUCUUAGACUUAUUAAAGACAUUGUUACUUACCUGUGAAGAAGAGUUAGACAACAUAUUUGGAGAUUGUAAAAAUGGAGAGAGACUGAAUCCUGGAGAUAUUACGAGGAUAGGAGAGGGAACAAGAAUCGGGUUCCUGAACGAAUUAGCAAAUGGACUGAUGCUCUCUAUCUCGAGCGAUGGAAUAUCAAAUCCUACCAUUCUGUUGCGGAGACCACCAGAUCUUUGUUCAGACUGAGGAUCAGGUGAUACGUUGGUUUGAGGGAACGCCUUGCUGAUCGGAUUUAGACCAUUUUCGUUUUGAUCCAGCAUUGCUAAUGCCUCUCUUAUGCGAGGACUGGACAGUGGGGACAAAUCAUCCAUAAAGUUUCCAUCAUAAUCAUUCAUUUUUUGGGGUGAAAAUCUUGAAAGGUCAACAAAAACCACACAAAAACAAGAUCCUUGAAAACUGAAAAACUAUUUGGAAUACAAAGUAAUGUAAUGUAAAGCAGUAAAGGUGAUAUAAUCUGGGAAAUUUUAAAUAGUUGGAUAGUAAUGAAUAAUUUAUUUAUAGAUGUAAACGAAAAGCCUUCUUUAAAGGAAUCUAGGUAUUGUAUGUGUUGCAUAGAAGGGAGGUGGUCUUCUUAUAGUAAAAUUCAACCAUUUUAUUUUGGUAACAAUUUUAUGUGGUCAAACUUUCUUAAUCCAAAUUUUCUCAAUUCUUAAAGAAGUUUUAAUUACCUUUUACUUCUUUUUGGUUUCUUAUGAAAGGUGUAUAUUUCAUUCCGGUUUUAUCAAAAAAAUACCAAAGCUAACGAUAUUAUUCAAAAUUUUGAUUUUCUUUUCCCGUAUUGUAUUUAUUCCAAAACAAAUAAAAAUAGUUUGUGGUUAAAAAUAAUUAAGUUCAGUCAAUUAUUUGUAAUUUGAUUAUUUUAAAAUUAUAACAAUGUUUAAAAUAUUUUGGCAUGGUUUUAUUUGAGUUUAUACUAUAAACGUCUCCAUUUAGAAACCCACUUGGCACCCUAAUCUCUUGGUAUAUGUUAUUUUUUUGUCUGGUAGGGAUGAUUGUGACGUGUGCUUUGAUAACAUGGAAAGCUUUGAUGUGUCACUGGAAGUGAAUCCCCUGUUUACUCAUAGUGAAUAUGAUACCUAGUAGGGGGAUAUAUUGUUCUUGCACAUGAGUAAUGACCCCAUCCGAGCUGGCGAAAGUGUUGUUUUCAAUAUUGAUGCAAGUUUCCCUUUCUCAUUUUUUGUUUUGCUUACUUAUGCAUGAACCUUUCACCUCAUUUGUAUUUUUAUUCAUGCUUCUCUUUUCAGGGUCGUGAUAUUCCAAUUGUCCAUCGUGUCAUUAAGGUAACUUUUUCUAUAGAUCUCCUCAUUAUCAUCUCCCUGUGCUUAGAUUGUAGCACCUAGAUGAUUCUGAUUCUUUGGGGGUUCAUUACAUUACAGGUUCACGAAAGGGAAAGUACUGGAGAAAUCGUUGUUUUGACCAAAGGUUCUGGUUUUAUUUAUUUGAAUUGAGUGUGAGUUGUUUAUCAUAUUGUUAUCAUUCAACGCCCAUUUACAUUUUCAUUUCUAUUGUUUACAGGUGACAAUAACCUUGACCAUGAUAGAAUUCUCUAUGCUAAAGGUCAGCUUUGGCUUCAUCGACAUCAUGUAAUGAGUCGUGCUGUAGGAUAAUUAAUUUACUUUAAUCACAUAAGUGUAUAGUGUGUAAAGUAAACCAAAAGCUGUAGUUACUCAUAAAUGGUUUUACCUUUGUGCCUGCUUCAGCUUCUUGCCUUAUGUUGGAUGGGUGACUAUAAUCAUGACAGAAAAGCCUAUCAUCUAGGUUAAUACAUUCUCUUUUCUCACUCUAUGUCCAAUCCACAAUGAACACUCUGUGUCAUUUUUUUAAUCUUCUUCUUGCAGUAUCUUCUCAUAGCUGCAUUGGGUAUACUUGUUAUAACGUCCAUGGGUUGAGUCUUUUUGGAUAGGAAUUGACUCCUUUGGUUUAUCAUCCUUCUGGUCUUUGUUAUUUCAAUGGGUAAUAGCAAGUCAAAGACUGGUCAUUUGUUGUUUAGACCACUUUAAUAUAUUACAAUCAGAAAGCUAACUUUUAAUCCUGGAGAUUAGAUUACCUAAAUAAAAGAGAUUUGUUUGCUUAGGAUAUGCUUUGUUUCGUUUUUCUUUCUCUCUCUUUAAAAAAAUUAGUAAAAACAAUAAAGAAACUCCUGAAAUUUACUCAAACAAAUGCUGGAGAGAUAUGAUCAAACACUUGUAUAUAUUUAUACUCACUUGUACACUUCUCAUUAUUUAAUAUGACCUACAAUCUAAAGUUUGCUACACUCUUAAUCCAACUUUCUCAUGAGAAACUUGGCUCCAAAAAGCUAAUAUAAUGGCAAGAGUAAAAGUGAUACUCACUUAAAAAGAGGAUGAGCAUGAGCGUAAACAAUCUGUUUAAUUGGAUUAUAGUCAGGGUUUAGUUUUUCUUCUGUAUCACUGGAUGUCGGUUUGAUUUAUAUAGUUCACAUAUACAUAUAGUUUAUUAUCUGGAUUAACCAUCCUAACACAGUCAACUCAAGAAUAAUAUGCAUUAAAAACCAUAAUGAAAGGGAUAAGUACAAGAUUUUUGUAUAUCUUUGUUCAUUAUUGUUUAUAACUAUAAGAUAAGGAUAUAAUAAUUAAAAAACGGUUUACAUCUUUCUUUUUUAUCUUUUGGUUAAUGUUUUCCCCAUCUAAAGGUUGAUACCACAGUUACGAAAUAGUCGCUUCCUUAUCUCCUUGAAAACCUUCUGUACCGUCUGGUAUCACAAGAUCAAUCUUUGGUUCAUCAUUCCGGUUCAUAACACCAUGACUCCUGUUAACCGGUAAACUUGGAAGCUUAGAGAGUCCAUCCAUAUAGUAUUGCAUCAUAUCCAUUUGUGGGGCCAAGGGAGAGGGCAAAAGCUGAGAGGUCGAAACGGAAGAAUGCAGCAUACCUAACCCAAGGGUUUGCAUGCUAGGAUCUUGAGACAUAGACGAACCGGAUUUUUUCUUUCUACUGGAUUGGCUUAUGCGUUCAGGUGGUGGAACGUGCUCAUGUAUCCCGUCGUAUGUAGCCACCACUAACUUCACAUUGUCUACGCUUCUCUCCACAUGCUUCGUCACCUUACACCCAGUGUAUGUGCAUCUGUAGUAACUCCUGCGAUUACCAGUGGCGAUUACCAUUUACACCAAAAUAAAUAUAUAAUAUUUUUUGUCAAAAUGCCUGACUAAUUUUGAAGUGAAAGAAAUAUAUAACCUUGGAUUUGGAUUCCCUGUGACAACUUUUUGACCAUAUUUUCUCCAGCGAAAACCAUCGUCAGGAUGGUUUUCUUCGUUUUCAACCUGAAUUAUGACACUUUGGGUCUUGUUUUUUGGUCUUGUGACUCCAAUAAUGUUUGAUACCAUUUUCCCUGCGAGGAAUUAUGUAAUUCAGGUAAAUUUUAUUAUUAAACAUAUCAAUUAUAAAUUGAGUUAAUAUAUAGUUUUAUUAUUAUUAUUAUAUAUUGAUUACUCAAUGUUGACUUGGAACUUUCUCUUUCGAGAUGGAGGUUCUAUAACAACGUUGUGAUCUUUGACUUUGUCUUCCUCUUGGUUGUAUUCUCUGUCCUUGUCAUUAUCUUUGCUACCACUUUCAAGGGAGAUAGUGUUCAUAAAAUCAGCUUCAGCAACAACAUCAGAAUCAAAAGAAGGACUAAAGGAGGACCAGUGGGAUCAACAUUAGAUUCAUGAGAUGUGAUAUAAACAGAUUUUUCCAUUGGAAUAUCAUCAGAGCCUGUUUUACAUGUAAAAAGAAAUAUAUUAAUAUUCGGAAAAUCUAAACUGAAGCAAACUCUAGACACUGGAAACUCUAUUACCUCCUUGUGUAGGCAGAUCAACGUCGAUUGGCUGAUGAGGAAGAUUGUUGUUGGAUAUAAUCAUUGUUGCAUGGGCAUCACCAGAACUUUCCACCGUCUCAGGAGGCGCAUCAUUAGGGAUUGGACACGGAGGGAUAAUCUGGAAACAUAAAUUACACAAAGACAAUAAACAGUUAGGUUAAUCAUAUAUUAAUAUUAUUUUGGAGACAAUAAUAUAUAUCACGUGUAAGAGAUCAAUCUUAGACUUAUUAAAGACAUUGUUACUUACCUGUGAAGAAGAGUUAGACAACAUAUUUGGAGAUUGUAAAAAUGGAGAGAGACUGAAUCCUGGAGAUAUUACGAGGAUAGGAGAGGGAACAAGAAUCGGGUUCCUGAACGAAUUAGCAAAUGGACUGAUGCUCUCUAUCUCGAGCGAUGGAAUAUCAAAUCCUACCAUUCUGUUGCGGAGACCACCAGAUCUUUGUUCAGACUGAGGAUCAGGUGAUACGUUGGUUUGAGGGAACGCCUUGCUGAUCGGAUUUAGACCAUUUUCGUUUUGAUCCAGCAUUGCUAAUGCCUCUCUUAUGCGAGGACUGGACAGUGGGGACAAAUCAUCCAUAAAGUUUCCAUCAUAAUCAUUCAUUUUUUGGGGUGAAAAUCUUGAAAGGUCAACAAAAACCACACAAAAACAAGAUCGUUGAAAACUGAAAAACUAUUUGGAAUACAAAGUAAUGUAAUGUAAAGCAGUAAAGGUGAUAUAAUCUGGGAGAUUUUAAAUAGUUGGAUAGUAAUGAAUAAUUUAUUUAUAGAUGUAAACGAAAAGCCUUCUUUAAAGGAAUCUAGGUAUUGUAUGUGUUGCAUAGAAGGGAGGUGGUCUUCUUAUAGUAAAAUUCAACCAUUUUAUUUGGUAACAAUUUUAUGUGGUCAAACUUUCUUAAUCCAAAUUUUCUCAAUUCUUAAAGAAGUUUUAAUUACCUUUUACUUCUUUUUGGUUUCUUAUGAAAGGUGUAUAUUUCAUUCCGGUUUUAUAAAAAAAAUACCAAAGCUAACGAUAUUAUUCAAAAUUGUGAUUUUCUUUUCCCGUAUUGUAUUUAUUCCAAAACAAAUAAAAAUAGUUUGUGGUUAAAAAUAAUUAAGUUCAGUCAAUUAUUUGUAAUUUGAUUAUUUUAAAAUUAUAACAAUGUUUAAAAUAUUUUAGCAUGGUUUUAUUUGAGUUUAUACUAUAAACGUCUCCAUUUAGAAACCCACUUGGCACCCUAAUCUCUUGGUAUAUGUUAUUUUUUGUCUGGUAGGGAUGAUUGUGACGUGUGCUUUGAUAACAUGGAAAGCUUUGAUGUGUCACUGGAAGUGAAUCCCCUGUUUACUCAUAGUGAAUAUGAUACCUAGUAGGGGGAUAUAUUGUUCUUGCACAUGAGUAAUGACCCCAUCCGAGCUGGCGAAAGUGUUGUUUUCAAUAUUGAUGCAAGUUUCCCUUUCUCAUUUUUUGUUUUGCUUACUUAUGCAUGAACCUUUCACCUCAUUUGUAUUUUUAUUCAUGCUUCUCUUUUCAGGGUCGUGAUAUUCCAAUUGUCCAUCGUGUCAUUAAGGUAACUUUUUCUAUAGAUCUCCUCAUUAUCAUCUCCCUGUGCUUAGAUUGUAGCACCUAGAUGAUUCUGAUUCUUUGGGGGUUCAUUACAUUACAGGUUCACGAAAGGGAAAGUACUGGAGAAAUCGUUGUUUUGACCAAAGGUUCUGGUUUUAUUUAUUUGAAUUGAGUGUGAGUUGUUUAUCAUAUUGUUAUCAUUCAACGCCCAUUUACAUUUUCAUUUAUAUUGUUUACAGGUGACAAUAACCUUGACCAUGAUAGAAUUCUCUAUGCUAAAGGUCAGCUUUGGCUUCAUCGACAUCAUAUAAUGAGUCGUGCUGUAGGAUAAUUAAUUUACUUUAAUCACAUAAGUGUAUAGUGUGUAAAGUAAACCAAAAGCUGUAAUUACUCAUAAAUGGUUUUACCUUUGUGCCUGCUUCAGCUUCUUGCCUUAUGUUGGAUGGGUGACUAUAAUCAUGACAGAAAAGCCUAUCAUCUAGGUUAAUACAUUCUCUUUUCUCACUCUAUGUCCAAUCCACAAUGAACACUCUGUGUCAUUUUUUUAAUCUUCUUCUUGCAGUAUCUUCUCAUAGCUGCAUUGGGUAUACUUGUUAUAACGUCCAUGGGUUGAGUCUUUUUGGAUAGGAAUUGACUCCUUUGGUUUAUCAUCCUUCUGGUCUUUGUUAUUUCAAUGGGUAAUAGCAAGUCAAAGACUGGUCAUUUGUUGUUUAGACCACUUUAAUAUAUUACAAUCAGAAAGCUAACUUUUAAUCCUGGAGAUUAGAUUACCUAAAUAAAAGAGAUUUGUUUGCUU